rnacentral:rRNA from 1 species
CUGAAGAGUUUGAUCAUGGCUCAGAUUGAACGCUGGCGGCAGGCCUAACACAUGCAAGUCGAACGGUAACAGGAUGUGCUUGCACAUCGCUGACGAGUGGCGGACGGGUGAGUAAUGCUUGGGAACUUGCCUUUGCGAGGGGGAUAACAGUUGGAAACGACUGCUAAUACCGCAUAAUGUCUUCGGACCAAACGGGGCUUAGGCUCCGGCGCAAAGAGAGGCCCAAGUGAGAUUAGCUAGUUGGUAAGGUAACGGCUUACCAAGACAGCGAUAGAUAGGGGCCCUGAGAGGGGGAUCCCCCACACUGGUACUGAGACACGGACCAGACUCCUACGGGAGGCAGCAG